rnacentral:rRNA from 1 species
AACGAACGCUGGCGGCAUGCCUAACACAUGCAAGUCGAACGAGACCUUCGGGUCUAGUGGCGCACGGGUGCGUAACGCGUGGGAACCUGCCCUUAGGUUCGGAAUAACUCCCCGAAAGGGGUGCUAAUACCGGAUAAUGUCUUCGGACCAAAGAUUUAUCGCCUUUGGAUGGGCCCGCGUUGGAUUAGCUAGUUGGUAGGGUAAAAGCCUACCAAGGCGACGAUCCAUAGCUGGUCUGAGAGGAUGAUCAGCCACACUGGGACUGAGACACGGCCCAGACUCCUACGGGAGGCAGCAGUGGGGAAUAUUGGACAAUGGGCGAAAGCCUGAUCCAGCAACGCCGCGUGAGUGAUGAAGGCCUUAGGGUUGUAAAGCUCUUUUACCCGGGAUGAUAAUGACAGUACCGGGAGAAUAAGCACCGGCUAACUCCGUG